UGGCUCAGAUGGUGAAGAACCUGCCUGCAAUGCAGGAGACCCAGGUUCAAUCCCUGG
rnacentral:tRNA from 1 species